rnacentral:ribozyme from 1 species
UAGGAGAAGACACUGAAGGACGUGUGGUGAGUGAAAGAAGAAGGAAAGGCGUGCGCUCGUUCCUCACUUACCCUUUCAUUCUUCUUCAUUCUUCACUACAGCACACUAGGAAUUACA